rnacentral:lncRNA from 1 species
GACAAGACCCGAAACCGUGCCAUGUCGUAUGGGCAUUCUCAAACAAAACUAUGAUCGGAGAUCGCCCCGAUAACACAAACUAACCAUCACCCUUGACCACAAGUGUCCGAUGAACUCUGAACACAUACAAAAGAUAUGAAACAAUACCAUUGAUCAUAAAAAAAGAAGAGUCUAAUCAAGCCAUUUACAUCACUAUAUUAACCCAAUAUACCCAAGUCCACAGUC